GACGAACGCUGGCGGCGUGCCUAAUACAUGCAAGUAGAACGCUGAAGAGAGGAGCUUGCUCUUCUUGGAUGAGUUGCGAACGGGUGAGUAACGCGUAGGUAACCUGCCUUGUAGCGGGGGAUAACUAUUGGAAACGGUAGCUAAUACCGCAUAACAAUGGAUGACACAUGUCAUUUAUUUGAAAGGGGCAAUUGCUCCACUACAAGAUGGACCUGCGUUGUAUUAGCUAGUAGGUGAGGUAAUGGCUCACCUAGGCGACGAUACAUAGCCGACCUGAGAGGGUGAUCGGCCACACUGGGACUGAGACACGGCCCAGACUCCUACGGGAGGCAGCAGUAGGGAAUCUUCGGCAAUGGGGGCAACCCUGACCGAGCAACGCCGCGUGAGUGAAGAAGGUUUUCGGAUCGUAAAGCUCUGUUGUAAGUCAAGAACGGGUGUGAGAGUGGAAAGUUCACACUGUGACGGUAGCUUACCAGAAAGGGACGGCUAACUACGUGCCAGCAGCCGCGGUAAUACGUAGGUCCCGAGCGUUGUCCGGAUUUAUUGGGCGUAAAGCGAGCGCAGGCGGUUUGAUAAGUCUGAAGUUAAAGGCUGUGGCUCAACCAUAGUUCGCUUUGGAAACUGUCAAACUUGAGUGCAGAAGGGGAGAGUGGAAUUCCAUGUGUAGCGGUGAAAUGCGUAGAUAUAUGGAGGAACACCGGUGGCGAAAGCGGCUCUCUGGUCUGUAACUGACGCUGAGGCUCGAAAGCGUGGGGAGCGAACAGGAUUAGAUACCCUGGUAGUCCACGCCGUAAACGAUGAGUGCUAGGUGUUGGAUCCUUUCCGGGAUUCAGUGCCGCAGCUAACGCAUUAAGCACUCCGCCUGGGGAGUACGACCGCAAGGUUGAAACUCAAAGGAAUUGACGGGGGCCCGCACAAGCGGUGGAGCAUGUGGUUUAAUUCGAAGCAACGCGAAGAACCUUACCAGGUCUUGACAUCCCGAUGCUAUUUCUAGAGAUAGAAAGUUACUUCGGUACAUCGGUGACAGGUGGUGCAUGGUUGUCGUCAGCUCGUGUCGUGAGAUGUUGGGUUAAGUCCCGCAACGAGCGCAACCCCUAUUGUUAGUUGCCAUCAUUCAGUUGGGCACUCUAGCGAGACUGCCGGUAAUAAACCGGAGGAAGGUGGGGAUGACGUCAAAUCAUCAUGCCCCUUAUGACCUGGGCUACACACGUGCUACAAUGGUUGGUACAACGAGUUGCGAGUCGGUGACGGCGAGCUAAUCUCUUAAAGCCAAUCUCAGUUCGGAUUGUAGGCUGCAACUCGCCUACAUGAAGUCGGAAUCGCUAGUAAUCGCGGAUCAGCACGCCGCGGUGAAUACGUUCCCGGGCCU
rnacentral:rRNA from 1 species